GAUUAGUCAGAAAUGUGCUUAGUUCAAUUCAAUUAGCUUUCUGAAUAAAUAACUUAACUAAACCGUUUCUUUUGCAUAUUCCAUUAAAUUAUAUUUGCAGCAUUUCAAGACAAGUACAUGUUUCACAUGGUUAAAAACAAAAGAUGGUUUCUGGAUGGGUGAAAGACAUCAUAACAUUUCUGGUUGGAGUCCUUGUUGGCUGGCAAGCAAGGAAAUUCUACUAUCUUGACUUCGACAAUGAACUGAUGCGAGCUUUAUAUGAAGGGGACGAUACUGGAGGAGCACUUGGCCAAAUGAUGCAUUUACAAGAUGCUGAUUAACUCAAAUAAGCAUGAAGUCAUUUAAAAAAAAUAUUAUGUUUGUAUAUUUUGCGAAUAUAUUUAACUUGUUUUUCUA